rnacentral:pre_miRNA from 12 species
CUGUGGGCUCCCUGACUGUGGGUCUCUCCUCAGGGUGCUCCGGGCAAAGCUGGGGACCCCGGGAGAGACGUAAGUAAGGGGAGGAGUCGGGGGCGG